UCAGCACUGUAUCACUAUGUGAUUUUUCUGGGGCUUAUGUCUUCUCGUUGACAUAAGGGGUUACAGAUAACUCUGUCUACUUACUGAAAUAUAAUGUGUUGUGAAUGUUCCAUGCUCUGUCCUUGUGGAUGUCUCCUUCCUAUUUCUAGGUCUGUGGGAAUUCUGGGAAGGUGGUAGAGAAGCAUCAGGUGUUAUAGGAGAAAAGGCCUUCAAUUGUCUUAAGGAUGGUGUGAGAAGCUUACUCCUCCUGAAUCCCAGCCAGGACCAACUAGACAUUUGGUUGAAGAUGGACGGUGUGUUAAAGAAGUGGAUGGCAUAUAGAAGCAUGGAUUCUGGACAUGGCUGUGCCACUAAGUACAGAAGUAACAUGAGUGAGAAUAUAGAUCAGCACCCCCUUUCUAAAGAAGAGGAAACACACUUCACAUAACUUAUUCUCUUCAAUCUGAUAGUGACAAAGCUCUGCCUAAAUCUGUAUUCUUUGGAGUCUAGUAUAACUUUUUUCCCCACUGCAUCAAAGCAGGAAGUCUUUCCUUAUGUUUAAAUAAUUCUCUUUUGUGAUUUAGAUCCUUCCUUCUUGUUCUGGCCUCGGCAAGGACCAGACCAGGAGAGCAGCUGGUCACCAUUUUUUAUAUGUGAACAUUAUAAAUAAAACGUUUUCCAAACCUGCCCUAAGAGUUAGG
rnacentral:lncRNA from 12 species